rnacentral:rRNA from 1 species
AAUAGAUACCCGGGUAGUCCACGCCGUAAACGAUGAGUGCUAAGUGUUAGAGGGUUUCCGCCCUUUAGUGCUGCAGCUAACGCAUUAAGCACUCCGCCUGGGGAGUACGGUCGCAAGACUGAAACUCAAAGGAAUUGACGGGGGCCCGCACAAGCGGUGGAGCAUGUGGUUUAAUUCGAAGCAACGCGAAGAACCUUACCAGGUCUUGACAUCCUCUGACAACUCUAGAGAUAGAGCGUUCCCCUUCGGGGGAUAGAGUGACAGGUGGUGCAUGGUUGUCGUCAGCUCGUGUCGUGAGAUGUUGGGUUAAGUCCCGCAACGAGCGCAACCCUUGAUCUUAGUUGCCAGCAUUUAGUUGGGCACUCUAAGGUGACUGCCGGUGACAAACCGGAGGAAGGUGGGGAUGACGUCAAAUCAUCAUGCCCCUUAUGACCUGGGCUACACACGUGCUACAAUGGAUGGUACAAAGGGGCUGCAAGACCGCGAGGUCAAGCCAAUCCCAUAAAACCAUUCUCAGUUCGGA